rfam:Selaginella moellendorffii unplaced genomic scaffold SELMOscaffold_16, whole genome shotgun sequence.
AUACUUACUUGGACGGGGUUUAUUAGUUACCAUGAAGGCUAAUGGCCUAGGUUUGGUCUUCCCAGCUCGAUCAAAGCCGCGAUUUGAGGCAGGCUUGGCCGGCCUACCAUCUUCCCAAAGUGGAGGAGGGGACGUCGUAAUUUGUGGAAGUUGAGGGCGGCCCUCUC